UACGUAGGUGGCAAGCGUUGUCCGGAUUUAUUGGGUUUAAAGGGUGCGUAGGCGGCCCUGUAAGUCAGUGCUGAAAUAUCCCAGCUUAACUGGGAGGGUGGCAUUGAUACUGCGGGGCUAGAGUACAGAUGAGGUAGGCGGAAUUGACGGUGUAGCGGUGAAAUGCUUAGAUAUCGUCAAGAACACCUAUAGCGAAGGCAGCUUACUAGGCUGUAACUGACGCUGCUAGGACGAAAGCGUGGGGAGCGAAUGGG
rnacentral:rRNA from 1 species